GAAGAGCGACCGUAGAAGAAGGCGGAAACAAAAGAGGUUUUAUAAAAACACAAACACAUACCCGGCUGUCGAAGUACUCAGGGAAUAAAGAACAGCCAUUGACUUCGCCAGCAAUAAUAUUAAAAUUCAAAUAAAGAGCGAGUCGAAGUGAGUUGAGGAGCGCACUGCACCAGUCAACAUGGCACUGAAACGAAUACAAAAGGAGCUCCAGGACCUGCAGAGAGACCCUCCAGCACAGUGCUCUGCUGGACCAGUGGGGGAUGACUUGUUUCAUUGGCAGGCAACCAUAAUGGGUCCGGUGAGUAUUACGCCAUCACUUUCAGUCCUCUCUCAAAGACUCCUGUGCUUGUGCUACAUUAGAAAUGGUCUCUUAGUAGCUAUGGGUACUUAAGAUUCA